rnacentral:tRNA from 1 species
GGGGCUAUAGCUCAGUGGCAGAGUGCUUGCCUAGCACGUAUGAAGCACUGGGUUCAAUCCUUAGCACCA